rnacentral:rRNA from 1 species
UACUGUGAUUUAGUACUACACUGCGUGAGCGGAACGAAAACAAAAACACCUAAAAUGUGGAAUAUAGCAUAUAGUCGACAAGAGAAAUCUACGAAAAACAAACAAAACUUUCAACAACGGAUCUCUUGGUUCUCGCAUCGAUGAAGAGCGCAGCGAAAUGCGAUACCUAGUGUGAAUUGCAGCCAUCGUGAAUCAUCGAGUUCUUGAACGCACAUUGCGCCCCUCGGCAUUCCGGGGGGCAUGCCUGUUUGAGCGUCGUUUCCAUCUUGCGCGUGCGCAGAGUUGGGGGAGCGGAGCGGACGACGUGUAAAGAGCGUCGGAGCUGCGACUCGCCUGAAAGGGAGCGAAGCUGGCCGAGCGAACUAGACUUUUUUUCAGGGACGCUUGGCGGCCGAGAGCGAGUGUUGCGAGACAACAAAAAGCUCGACCUCAAAUCAGGUAGGAAUACCCGCUGAACUUAAGCAUAUCGGAGGAA